UUGGUGGAGGGGGAGAGGAGUAAAUGUAGGGAUGCGGUUCCGAUUUCUCCGGAGGAGGUGGAGAUUCGUAGUGGUAUGGAGGAGGUGGUGAUUUUUCUGGUGGUGGUGGGGACUUGUAGUGGUAUGGAGGAGGAGGUGAGUGCUCCGGUGGCGGUGGAGAUUUGUAGUAGUAUGGAGGAGGAGGCGAGUGCACCGGUGGCGGUGGGGAUUUGUAGUAGUAUGGGGGAGGAGGUGAGUGCACCGGUGGCGGUGGGGAUUUGUAGUAGUAUGGAGGAGGUGGAGAGUGCACCGGAGGUGGUGGGGAUUUGUAAUAGUAUUUAGGAGAAGGGGGUGGCGGUGACUUGUAAUAGUAUUUGGGAGAAGGUGGCUUGUAGUAAUACGUUGGUGCGGGUGGCGGCGGCGACUUGUAGUAGUAUUUUGGAGAAGGUGGUGGUGGCGAUUUGUAGUGGUAUUUGGGAGAAGGCGGUGGUGGUGACUUGUAGUGGUAUUUUGGAGAAGGUGGUGGUGGCGAUUUGUAGUAGUAUUUGGGAGAAGGCGGCUUGUAGUGAUACGUUGGUGCCGGUGGCGGUGGUGACUUGUAAUAAUACGUCGGUGUGGGAGGCGGAGGAGACUUGUAAUAAUAAGUCGGCGGAGGUGGCUUGCAGUAAGGUACCGGAGAAUGAUGGUGGUGGUGAUGAUGAUGGUGUCUUUUCUCAUAGCAAUCCUUGUAAGGAGUCUUGGGUGCAUAAGCAAAUUUCUUUGACUUGUACACAACCUCGACGUGAUUUCUCGACUUAAUGUGGAGC
rnacentral:lncRNA from 1 species